UCUGCCUCAUACUUUUUAUCGUUGGCCUC
rnacentral:rRNA from 1 species